rnacentral:rRNA from 1 species
AGUGAACGCGGGCGGUAGGCCUAACACAUGCAAGUCGAACGGCAGCACAGUAAGAGCUUGCUCUUACGGGUGGCGAGUGGCGGACGGGUGAGGAAUACAUCGGAAUCUACUUUUUCGUGGGGGAUAACGUAGGGAAACUUACGCUAAUACCGCAUACGACCUACGGGUGAAAGCAGGGGAUCUUCGGACCUUGCGCGAUUGAAUGAGCCGAUGUCGGAUUAGCUAGUUGGCGGGGUAAAGGCCCACCAAGGCGACGACCCGUAGCUGGUCUGAGAGGAUGAUCAGCCACACUGGAACUGAGACACGGUCCAGACUCCUACGGGAGGCAGCAGUGGGGAAUAUUGGACAAUGGGCGCAAGCCUGAUCCAGCCAUACCGCGUGGGUGAAGAAGGCCUUCGGGUUGUAAAGCCCUUUUGUUGGGAAAGAAAAGCAGCAGGUUAAUACCCCGCUGUUCUGACGGUACCCAAAGAAUAAGCACCGGCUAACUUCGUG